rnacentral:rRNA from 1 species
GACGAACGCUGGCGGCGUGCCUAAUACAUGCAAGUAGAACGCUGAAGGAGGAGCUUGCUUCUCUGGAUGAGUUGCGAACGGGUGAGUAACGCGUAGGUAACCUGCCUGGUAGCGGGGGAUAACUAUUGGAAACGAUAGCUAAUACCGCAUAAGAGUAGAUGUUGCAUGACAUUUGCUUAAAAGGUGCAAUUGCAUCACUACCAGAUGGACCUGCGUUGUAUUAGCUAGUUGGUGAGGUAACGGCUCACCAAGGCGACGAUACAUAGCCGACCUGAGAGGGUGAUCGGCCACACUGGGACUGAGACACGGCCCAGACGCCUACGGGAGGCAGCAGUAGGGAAUCUUCGGCAAUGGACGGAAGUCUGACCGAGCAACGCCGCGGGAGUGAAGAAGGUUUUCGGAUCGUAAAGCUCUGUUGUAAGAGAAGAACGAGUGUGAGAGUGGAAAGUUCACACUGUGACGGUAUCUUACCAGAAAGGGACGGCUAACUCCGUG